rnacentral:lncRNA from 1 species
ACAGUAUCUAAUGGAACAGACUCGAAAACAGACUCUAAAGACAAAUUCCUAGAAUGCAUAACUAACCUAUGAAACGUCCUAUCAAUUUCAGGAUCAAAAGGUGGUAUGAAUCCAAGAUUUCCUCUAGUCAUGCACUAAAUCACAACACCUUAUAAUCAUGAAACAAUAGCACAAAAAUUCAAAACACAGAAAACAACACAAGACAACACAACUCACACAAACACAAACACAACACAAGACUCAAAACUGAACCAUUGGUCCCCGGCAACGGCGCCAAAAUUUGAUAAGCUGUCGCAACCCACACAAAUUUGAUGUGCAAAUAAAUGCAGUAUAGUUAGGGAAUGACCCCUAGGUCGUCUCCCAAAGACCAAUUUUGCGGUUCAAGAAUUGAGUCUAACACGAAGAGGGGGGUUGAAAAGAUUUUUCAAAAAUUAAAAUAAACUCAAUAAAGACAAAUAUGCAAACAAACUAAUUUAAGCUAGCAUGGUAAUUAAACUAACACUAAUAAAAAUCUUAGACAACAUUCAAACAAAAUAAAAUAAAAUANUAGACACCAACACUAUUAGANACAACUAUCUANCAAAGUUAAAUUAAUUUAAAUGCAAAACUAAAUUAAAGAAAUUAAGAACAACUAAACCUAUUAUGUAGACUAAUUUAAAACAANGAAAUAAACAAUCAUUGUGUUUCUUUUACCAAGCACAUGACACAUGCUCCUUCAAACAAAUUAAAAUUGCAAGUGCCCUAAANUUGGCCCUCCUUGCCGUGACUUCCCAAGGGAACAAAAUGAAAUUCUCCUCUCCACCAAGUCAUUUACGUGCAGCCCCCACUCUCCCACGACAAUAUGUCACGGUUUCCAAGCACCAAAAGAAACACAAACAUUGAAAUCUCCUUUCUUUCAGAGCCUUGUCAACUACACUUCCCAAGAGCAAUGAAAAUGAAUAUUUGAUUCUAAAAAGCUCCCCCUUUUUCCGUCACAUGGUCUGCACCAAACACCAAUUCAAUUUGUUUCUUGCAUAAACAAUUAAAUAUGUUCCCCUCUUGUCCAUGUGCUUCACUCUCCAAGAAAAGGCAUGUGCUACCUAUGCCAUCAUGAAAAACNGUGCUCCCUCUCUCCUCNAAGUCAAAGCUACACAACUUUCAAUGUUUAACACAAAAUGAAGUGUUCCANAACUCAAUAACCAGC